rnacentral:piRNA from 1 species
UGCGAUAUUUUUGCGUUUUUU